rnacentral:rRNA from 1 species
UACGUAGGGGGCAAGCGUUAUCCGGAUUUACUGGGUGUAAAGGGAGCGUAGACGGUGAGACAAGUCUGAAGUGAAAGCCCGGGGCUCAACCCCGGGACUGCUUUGGAAACUGCCUGACUGGAGUGCUGGAGAGGCAAGCGGAAUUCCUAGUGUAGCGGUGAAAUGCGUAGAUAUUAGGAGGAACACCAGUGGCGAAGGCGGCUUACUGGACUGUAACUGACGUUGAGGCUCGAAAGCGUGGGGAGCAAACAGG